rnacentral:rRNA from 1 species
UACGUAGGGGGGCGAGCGUUGUCCGGAAUCAUUGGGCGUAAAGCGCGUGUAGGCGGUCCGGUAAGUCCGCUGUGAAAGUCCAGGGCUCAACCCUGGAAUGCCGGUGGAUACUGUCGGGCUCGAGUCCGGAAGAGGCGAGUGGAAUUCCUGGUGUAGCGGUGAAAUGCGCAGAUAUCAGGAGGAACACCAAUGGCGAAGGCAGCUCGCUGGGACGGUACUGACGCUGAGACGCGAAAGCGUGGGGAGCAAACAGG